GCACAAGCGGUGGAGCAUGUGGUUUAAUUCGAUGAUACGCGAGGAACCUUACCUGGGCUCAAAUGUAUGUUGACGUAUUCUGAAAGGGAUACUUCUUCGGACAAUAUACAAGGUGCUGCAUGGUUGUCGUCAGCUCGUGCCGUGAGGUGUCGGGUUAAGUCCCAUAACGAGCGCAACCCCUAUCAUUAGUUGCCAUCAGGUCAAGCUGGGGACUCUAAUGAAACUGCCUACGCAAGUAGUGAGGAAGGUGGGGAUGACGUCAAAUCAGCACGGCCCUUACGGCCUGGGCUACACACGUGCUACAAUGGUCGGUACAAAGGGUUGCCAAGCCGCGAGGUGGAGCUAAUCCCAUAAAACCGAUCGUAGUCCGGAUCGCAGUCUGCAACUCGACUGCGUGAAGUCGGAAUCGCUAGUAAUCGUGAAUCAGAAUGUCACGGUGAAUACGUUCCCGGGCCUU
rnacentral:rRNA from 1 species